GAUGAACGCUGGCGGCGUGCCUAAUACAUGCAAGUCGAGCGAACGGACGAGAAGCUUGCUUCUCUGAUGUUAGCGGCGGACGGGUAAGUAACACGUGGAUAACCUACCUAUAAGACUGGGAUAACUUCGGGAAACCGGAGCUAAUACCGGAUAAUAUUUUGAACCGCAUGGUUCAAAAGUGAAAGACGGUCUUGCUGUCACUUAUAGAUGGAUCCGCGCUGCAUUAGCUAGUUGGUAAGGUAACGGCUUACCAAGGCAACGAUGCAUAGCCGACCUGAGAGGGUGAUCGGCCACACUGGAACUGAGACACGGUCCAGACUCCUACGGGAGGCAGCAGUAGGGAAUCUUCCGCAAUGGGCGAAAGCCUGACGGAGCAACGCUGCGUGAGUGAUGAAGGUCUUCGGAUCGUAAAACUCUGUUAUUAGGGAAGAACAUAUGUGUAAGUAACUGUGCACAUCUUGACGGUACCUAAUCAGAAAGCCACGGCUAACUACGUG
rnacentral:rRNA from 1 species